rnacentral:rRNA from 1 species
CCUACGGGGGGCAGCAGUGGGGAAUAUUGCACAAUGGGGGAAACCCUGAUGCAGCGACGCCGCGUGAGUGAAGAAGUAAUUCGUGACGUAAAGCUCUAUCAGCAGGGAAGAAACACUGACCUUACGGUCAGCAGACGGUACCUGAGUAAGAAGCCCCGACUAACUACGUGCCAGCAGCCGCGGUAAUACGUAGGGGGCAAGCGUUAUCCGGAUUUAUUAGGUGUAAAGGGAGCGUAGACGGUGCGCCAAGUCGGGAGUGAAAUGCCGCGGGUUAACCUCGGGACUGCUUUUGAAACUGGCGAACUAGAGUGCGGGAGGGGUAAGCGGAAUUCCUGGUGUAGCGGUGAAAUGCGUAGAUAUUAGGAGGAACACCGGUGGCGAAGGCGGCUUACUGGACCGUAACUGACGUUGAGGCUCGAAAGCGUGGGGAGCGAACAGGAUUAGAUACCCUAGUAGUC